rnacentral:rRNA from 1 species
GUGUCAGCAGCCGCGGUAAUACGUAGGGUGCAAGCGUUGUCCGGAAUUAUUGGGCGUAAAGAGCUCGUAGGCGGUUUGUCGCGUCUGGUGUGAAAAUCCAGGGCUUAACCCUGGACCUGCAUCGGGUACGGGCAGACUAGAGUGCGGUAGGGGAGAUCGGAAUUCCUGGUGUAGCGGUGAAAUGCGCAGAUAUCAGGAGGAACACCGGUGGCGAAGGCGGAUCUCUGGGCCGUAACUGACGCUGAGGAGCGAAAGCAUGGGGAGCGAACAGGAUUAGAAACCCCCGUAGUCC